rnacentral:rRNA from 1 species
UACGGGGGGAGCAAGCGUUGUUCGGAUUUACUGGGCGUAAAGGGCGCGUAGGCGGCCACCGCAAGUCGACUGUGAAAUCUCCGGGCUUAACCCGGAAAGGUCAGCCGAUACUGCGGGGCUAGAGGGAUGCAGAGGAGACUGGAAUUCCCGGUGUAGCGGUGAAAUGUGUAGAGAUCGGGAGGAACACCGGUGGCGAAGGCGGGUCUCUGGGCAUCUCCUGACGCUGAGGCGCGAAAGCGUGGGGAGCAAACGGG